rnacentral:rRNA from 1 species
UACGUAGGGGGCAAGCGUUGUCCGGAAUCAUUGGGCGUAAAGCGCGUGUAGGCGGCCAGAAAAGUCCGCUGUGAAAACUCGAGGCUCAACUUCGAGCUGUCGGUGGAAACUUUCUGGCUAGAGUCCGGAAGAGGAGAGUGGAAUUCCUGGUGUAGCGGUGGAAUGCGCAGAUAUCAGGAGGAACACCAAUAGCGAAGGCAGCUCGCUGGGACGGUAUUGACGCUAAGGCGCGAAAGCGUGGGGAGCAAACAGG